rnacentral:rRNA from 1 species
GCAGUCGAACGGGAUCCUGCGGGCUUUGCUUGCGGGUGAGAGUGGCGAACGGGUGAGUAAUGCGUGACCAACCUGCCCCAUGCUCCGGAAUAGCUCCUGGAAACGGGUGGUAAUGCCGGAUGCUCCCGCGCCCCGCAUGGGGUGUGGGGAAAGCUUUCGUGGCAUGGGAUGGGGUCGCGUCCUAUCAGCUUGUUGGCGGGGUGAGGGCCCACCAAGGCGUUGACGGGUAGCCGGCCUGAGAGGGCGACCGGCCACAUUGGGACUGAGAUACGGCCCAGACUCCUACGGGAGGCAGCAGUGGGGAAUAUUGCACAAUGGGCGCAAGCCUGAUGCAGCGACGCCGCGUGCGGGAUGGAGGCCUUCGGGUUGUAAACCGCUUUUGUUUGGGAGCAAGCCCUUCGGGGUGAGUGUACCUUUCGAAUAAGCACCGGCUAACUACGUGCCAGCAGCCGCGGUAAUACGUAGGGUGCGAGCGUUAUCCGGAAUUAUUGGGCGUAAAGGGCUCGUAGGCGGUUCGUCGCGUCCGGUGUGAAAGUCCAUCGCUUAACGGUGGAUCCGCGUCGGGUACGGGCGGGCUGGAGUGCGGUAGGGGAGACUGGAAUUCCCGGUGUAACGGUGGAAUGUGUAGAUAUCGGGAAGAACACCAAUGGCGAAGGCAGGUCUC